ensembl:snRNA U6 U6 spliceosomal RNA
GUGCUUGCUUUGGCAGCACAUAUACUAAAACUGGAAAAAUACAGAGAAGAUUAGCAUGGUCCCUGCACAAAGAUGAUGUGCAAAUUCAUGAAGCAUUCCAUAGUUUU